CCUACGGGAGGCAGCAGUGAGGAAUAUUGGUCAAUGGGCGGGAGCCUGAACCAGCCAAGCCGCGUGAGGGAAGAAGGUACAGCGUAUCGUAAACCUCUUUUGUCAGGGAACAAAGGCGGGGACUAGUCCCCGGAUGAGGGUACCUGAAGAAAAAGCAUCGGCUAACUCCGUGCCAGCAGCCGCGGUAAUACGGAGGAUGCGAGCGUUAUCCGGAUUUAUUGGGUUUAAGGGGUGCGCAGGCGGCCUGUUAAGUCAGCGGGAAAAGCCCGGGGCUCAACCCCGGCGAGCCGUUGAAACUGGCGGGCUGGAGUGGGAGAGAGGUACGCGGAAUGCGAGGUGUAGCGGUGAAAUGCUUAGAUAUCGCGCAGAACCGCGAUUGCGAAGGCAGCGUACCGGCUCCACACUGACGCUGAGGCACGAAAGCGUGGGUAUCGAACAGGAUUAGAUACCCGGGUAGUC
rnacentral:rRNA from 1 species